AUUGAACGCUGGCGGCAUGCCUAACACAUGCAAGUCGAACGAGCGGCGGACGGGUGAGUAAUGUAUGGGGAUCUGCCUGAUGGAGGGGGAUAACUACUGGAAACGGUAGCUUAUACCGCAUACCAUCAGAUGAACCCAUAUGGGAUUGGCUAGUAGGUGGGGUAACGGCUUACCUAGGCAACGAUCCCUAGCGGGUUUGAGAGGAUGAUCAGCCCCACUGGGAUUGAGACACGGCCCAGCCCCCUACGGGAGGCAGCAGUGGGGAAGUUUGCAAAAUGGGCGCAAGCCUGAUGCGGACAGGCCGGGUGUAUAAAGAAGGCCUUCGGGUUGUAAAGUACUUUAAGUGGGGAGGCGUUACCGACAGAAGAAGCAACGGCUAACUCCGUGCCAGCCGCCGCGGUAAUAC
rnacentral:rRNA from 1 species